rnacentral:rRNA from 1 species
GACGAACGCUGGCGGCGUGCUUAACACAUGCAAGUCGAACGGAAAGGCCCUGCUUUUGUGGGAUGCUCGAGUGGCGAACGGGUGAGUAACACGUGAGUAACCUGCCCUUGACUUUGGGAUAACUUCAGGAAACUGGGGCUAAUACCGGAUAGGAGCUCCUGCUGCAUGGUGGGGGUUGGAAAGUUUCGGCGGUUGGGGAUGGACUCGCGGCUUAUCAGCUUGUUGGUGGGGUAGUGGCUUACCAAGGCUUUGACGGGUAGCCGGCCUGAGAGGGUGACCGGCCACAUUGGGCCUGCGAUACGGCCCAGACUCCUACGGGAGGCAGCAGUGGGGAAUAUUGCACAAUGGGCGGAAGCCUGAGGCAGCAACGCCGCGUGCGGGAUGACGGCCUUCGGGUUGUAAACCGCUUUCGCCUGUGACGAAGCGUGAGUGACGGUAAUGGGUAAAGAAGCACCGGCUAACUACGUG